CGCAAGCACAAGAGCAGUGUCCUCAUUUCCUCCCCUUCCACCUCCAGAAUGCCCCCUACAUUGUCCUCUCCUCCUCCUCUCUUUUCUCGACAUGCAACAGUAAUACAAUUCCUCCUUGAUCUCACCAUCAAUUACACAUGCAUAAUUGUCUUGAUGGAAAAACUCUCACUCCUUCACGGCUCCUACAUACUCACCUCCCUAACGCUCCUUCAUUUUGCAUGCAGAAAAUAAAAGCUGCACCUCUCAUAAUCUCCCUUAAUACUCCAUCCUUAAUUUCUUGAGUAAAGGGGUAGCAAACACCAGCUUUGCGCUCCACCCUCUCAGCAUGCAUGCAGGCAAGGGGAAGCUUUUAACCCCAACCCCUCCUCACCACACGACCAAGAGCAGAAGAGACUCCUCCUUUCUUUCCUCCUGCAAAGCCCAUGCAUGGUUGUCCCUUCUCAUCUCUCAUUCUCCUCCUUCGUCUCCACAAGAAUGGAACCCCCACACUGUCUCCAAUCAAACUUGCAACCCUGCUGUCCCCUCCCUGAUAUCUCUCUCCAAUGGCACAUCAAAGUUCCAUCAAUGGCUUCCAUUCCUUUUCCCUUUGUCUCUUGUCAUCAUCUGGAUGAAAACACGAAGCCCUGCUGCUGCAAUCCAUUUGUGCCGCUGCGUUCUUCAUCCUAGAGCUUGAGCACGCAAAUGGAGAAAGCCACCACCACUACAUCUUUUCUGCAAAAUAAGGUGAUGUCGUGAACUCUUCUUUGAUUCAACCUUACUGCCCCUCUCCCAUGUCUCACUCAAUUCUCUUUUGCACAUCAUGAGGACAUCCUCAAGGUUGAAUCGUUGCAGCCCCAUCUGAACCGAUG
rnacentral:lncRNA from 1 species